rnacentral:lncRNA from 1 species
UUUGGAUCUUAAUUCAGAUUGUUAAUCAAAAACAAAAUUGGAGGCUACAUUCAAGAUAGGUUCAGCUGCUGUGUGUUGUUGUAAUAUAUUCAAGAUAGGUUCAGUUGCUGUAACAAAAUUGGAGGCUACAUUCAAGAUAGGUUCAGCUGCUUCGUGUUGUUGUAGUAUAUAGGUUCAGUUGCUGUAACAAAAUUGGAGGCUACAUUCAAGAUAGGUUCAGUUGCUGCAAUAUAGUAAUAAAGAUAGGUUCAUAUUGGUUCAGUUACUGUAAUACUGUAAUAUACAGAGGAAGACAAAUACAGAGGAAGACAAAUACAGAGGAAUACGAUUUCCAGCAGUGAAUAGGGGAAUGGAAGCAAAGGACGCGAGCACAGGAAGCGAGGAAAUCACCUCGAUUUCGAUUUCCAGCGGAAGCGAGCACAGAAAUCGACGAGCUCGAUUUCCAGCGACGAAGGGAGAGAGCAGCGGCAGAUUUCCAGCGACCCUGGUGUUGGCGAUGGAAGGAAGACGACGGCGAUGGAAGGAAGACGACGGCGAUGGAAGGAAGACGGCCGCGAUGGAAGGAAGAUGGCGAUGGAAGGAAGUGGUUGCUAAUUUCUGCGUUUAAGGCUAUUGAUUAGGGUUUUUUAUUAAACCCGCCUUUUCCGCCGCAGCCGCGCCUUCUGCGCCGCCUCCCCGCCUCUGCGCCGCCUCCGCGCCGCCUCCGCGCCCAAACGCGGAAUGCACACCGCCUCGAAGAAAUCGCCGCGUUUUGCGCCCGCCUCGCCGCCUUCUCCGCCUAGGCGACCGCCUCAGCGCGAUUUCCAGAACCUUGCUUGGGAUAGGGCAAUCGCAACACAGAACUAGUUGACAUGGAAAAGGAUUUGAUCUUGCUGUGUGGGAUUCAUAAUAAAAUUCUGCAGAAUCGUUCACUACAGCCAAAAAAGAACUCAAAUCUUAAUAGCAGAGAUAUUCAUUCAUAUGAGUGAGAAUGACGAUGACAUGCCAAUUCCAAGCAGUAUUUCCCAUCACUCAUACUAAAUUGGGCAACACUGCAGUCUCCUAUGCAAAUCAUGGAUUAAAACUGACUGGUCUGCAACUAUGAAUGAAUUUGCAGGUCAGGGAAGCCCUUUGGUUCAUACAACAUAUGAGGUUUCCUCCCUACAGAGGAUCAACCAAUAUAACAUGCAAAAGCAAGUUUUUGUCUAAUGCCAAUCCAUCCUCAAGAUCAGCCAACGAGGCACAAUUCAGAUGAACAUGUCAUGAAAUGGGUCCACGUGAAGCAUUUGUUUAGAGAAAUAAAGAUUGAAAAGCUCCAGAUGGGGAUCAAUAAAAAAGGACUGUAUAUAAA